rnacentral:lncRNA from 1 species
GGAGGGGGGGAGGGGGGAGUUGCAGCUCCUGGCAAAUGCGCCAAAGUGUCCAGCCCCACCCUCGCGACCUCUAACCUCUCCUCGGACGGGAAGACCGGCGCGUUCCACGCAUGCUCAGUACGUCCGCGCAGAUUUCUGAAGCUCGAAUCCCGCGUGCGUUGUGUACGCACCCUGCCUGGGAAUACCAGUCUUGCAGGCUCCCUUCCAGUUGGACCGUCUGGUGUGCCUGGCUUUCCAGAGUGUGCGCCCAGCUCCCGGCUCCAUCCUCUGUGACAGCACCACAGCCCCAUCACUGUGGGCUCGCACAGGUACCGCUUGUGGCCAAUCUGUGGCCCUCCCCCAGAUGGUGUGUGCAGCCUGGCCUCAGCUUUUUACAGAGGUUACUAAGAUUUAUGUCCCAGGACCCUGGGCCCUCCAUCCUUCCUGCAAUAUGGCCGAGGGUUUUCUAAAACCCUUGUGAGAUAAAUCAUUUCCAGGAGAAUCUCAGCAAGUCUGCCCCCAGCCAUUCCUUUGUGUUGUUACAAUGAUGUCAUAUAUGUGUAGAAGCUAGAAUUGAUUAAAAUGUUUAAGUGAGAAGAUCACUCUGAUUCGCCAAAUGUUCUUUAGUCCUGAUAGGAUCGGAGUGUUUAUUUUUAAAAUAAGGGAAUGACUCAACAGUGAACAUUUCAGCAAUACCAAAAAAAGAUCCUAAAGAAUAACAACUUGGGGUUUCUGAACCUACUAGAGAACCUGAUAGUAGUCUCUCCUUACCCACAGGUGUUUUGUUUUGUGGGGUUUUGGGGGAGACUUGGGGGAGCACCAGUGAUGGAACCCAGCACAUGUUAGGUGUGACAGUUAAGCUUGCUGUGUCAUCUUAAUUGGCUUCGAAGCUGCCCAGGGAAUUGAUGGAGCACAUUUCUGGGUGUGUCUGGGUAGGUCAUGGAGGUGUGCCUUGGGUAUUUAUAUCUGGACCCUGAGACCUGGCCCCUUCCUCUCUGGGCCUUACUUUCUGUGCUCUGCUUCCUGGCCACCAUGAACUAAGCAGCUUUGUUCCACUAGGCCCUUCUACCAUGACGUUCCUGCCUCGGAGCCAGCUUACCAUGGGUUGAGACCUCUGAAACCAUGAGGUGAAUUACACUACUACUCCUUUAAGUUGUGCAUUAUCAACAUUGUGUCGCAGCAGUAGGAAAGCUUGACUAACACACCAGGCAAGGGCUGUACCAUUUAGCUAUAUCACAGCCCUCCUGGGCAGGAUAAGGUUUUGCCUGUGUGACAUGCCAGGUGGUCAGUGUGGGACUCAGGUGCACCUUGUAUGAAGGCAGCAGGGACAUGCUCAGGGACCUGACAUUCACCUUACCUGGUCCUGAUGUCCUUGUGUCUGCCUGAGAGAAUGUCCCUUAACAAACCACUGCCUUUGUGCUCUGACCACUCUUCCAAUUACAACAAACCUUGUUGGUGAUCAACCUGGCUUCUGGUGCCCAGUUUUCCUCCUUGUAUUCCCUUGCGGUGGCUCUGUGCAGGGGCCUUGAGCAAACCUUCUCCAUCUGGUACAAGGUGACUAAAACAUCUGUUCAGUAUCCUUUUGACUAAUUUAUUCAUCCAUUUGGAGUGAGUUUUUCACACACUCUUCAGCCUUCUCUUUUCCAGAUUAAAUAUUUCUAUAACUUUUCAACCUUUCGAUCAUGUUCAUUCUUGUUUUGAGACCUCUCCAGUUUUCCUUAUUAUUCUUACAUCAGUGAGUUUAAAUGGAGUAUGAGUCUCUACCCAUAAACUAGAGGCAUACAGUGUCAUUGACCAGGAUAUAUUUAUGACAAUAACUGGCCAGGGCUUAUCCCAGACUAAGAAAUCCAAAGUUUGGAUUGGUAGAAAAACAACCCACCUGAAUUUUUAAAAUAAAAUACUAUUUUAAAAAUAUUCCAAGCAAAUCCACAGCAGAACAUUUUUUUCCUGGUAGUUUAUAUAAAUUUUAGCUAAUAGCCCAUCAUAUUAAAUCUGAAAAUGUCCAGGCCUUUAUAUUCUGGUUUUUAAAAAGCUAAUUUGUAUCCUGGUGCCAUGUGGUAUGUAUUAUAUAUCACUUUAAAAUGUGGACACAAAUGUAUGUACUGAACAAAAGAUAGGAACAGGUAAUUUUAUCAUUUGCCUUGUUCAUGCCCCUCAAUAUACUGUCAGAGAGGGAGGGAAGGGGAAAU